GAAGGCCGUUAGAGUUCACAGACAGGACAGUUUAAAGAGAGACAGGAAGCAGUCUAGGGGAGAGGCGAGUGGGGAACGGGAUCAGGAAAGGACCUCUGGCCAGAGCCUAAACUCAGGAGUGCCAAGGCUUUUGCUCAGACAAUAUGGACAAUAUGAAGAGCACACCAUUGGGUGGGGGCUGAAUCCAUAAUGUUUUCAGACGGCUUCCUCACUGCUCGUCUGUCUCGUGUCAUUAUCUCGAUUUGGACGUUUCACUUCAUUUUAACAAAUGGCCUCUGUCACAGCGCAUUCGGGGUGCAGGAGAAGAGGCGUCCAUUUUGGAAUUUGAUCAAAGAGAGCAGAAUUGUGUUUGAUAAUGUUACACCCUCUGAAUUUUCAGUUCCCUGAGAGGCUCUGUUGUUCAUUUUCAGUGUGGAUGUUUAGUAUGUGCAUUUGGUUAAGAUAGGACUGUCAAUUCAGUGUGAUUAAUUAUAGAUAAUAGCUUUACCAUCAUGGGCCCAUUUUUUGCCCCUUG
ensembl:lncRNA